GGAUAUUACGCAAAACAAACAGGUGAGGGAUCAUGAAAAAAAGCCCUUUUGCAGCAGGUGAUAAAAGUCUUGUGAUGGAGUGGAGCAGGAGUUGUGUAGAAUUAAAUUGGAUUGUGUCUGGUGCAGAGUUGUUGGGCUCUUUUGGGGGAAAUGUAGCAGUUUUUGGAUUUUGUUUUGAUGGACUAAGACAAUUUCCCUUUUGAAAUGGUUACUGGUGUGUUUUAAUAUUCAGGAACUUUUCUGCUUGCGUAAGCAGCUGAGUUCUGCUCGUGAAUAAUUCCUGCACAGUAUGAAAUGGCGCAGAUGCCUAGGCAUGGACAAAGACUUCAGAGAGCCAGAGUAGAAUUUAUUUGCUUCAUAGGCCCAAUAAUAAAAUUCUAGGUGCAUAGGAAGGCGCUGACUGGCUUUUCAGAAGAAUCAGCAUUGAACUAUUGUCAUUCAUGUGGGGAUGGGGGUGGCUGCCUCAAAAUCACUUGGGAGGAUGAAUGUGCCUAGCCAGCUUUAAUGUGCUGUACCUGAACAGAAAUCCAGAGAGGCAGCCUCCAAUACCUUACUUUAUUUAAUGCAUAUAUUUAACAGGAUCCCAGCAGCAGUAUUAUUGGGAGGAUGAGGGGUGGGGAGGUCAGGACUGGGUGGGCCCACUGGUGAUUAUGACAGAGUUUCUUUACCAGUGAGGUAAAAGAGUUCAGACUUUGCCAUCACCUUUCCCACUCCCUUCACUCUCAUCUCAAGCAGCACUGAGGCAGCUGCCAGGAGGCUAUUCCUGUAGCUUCCGGCAACCCAUUCCUGUUUUUCAAGUGGCUUGUAAUGGCUAUCAGGGUUCCAGGUUGGAGUCCACGCCAGUCCUACCUGGAGAUGCCAGGGUUUGAAGUUGGGGGAUGUUCUACAUGCAAAAUGUAUUCUACAGCCCUACCCUGUUUAUAUUUCCCUCCUUCAGUCAUGAAGAGUUAUCAGAGCAGCUAACAAUUGAAAGUAGUAGCCUAAAAACAGUCAAUCCAUAAUAAAAUAUUAAAAACUGCAAAAGAGAACGGGUAGAUUUAGAAUCGUGUAAGACUAGAAACAAACAGCAGGAAUAAUAAUAAUAAUAAAUAAAUUUCUAGUACCCGCUCAUCUGACUGGGUUGCUCCAGACACACUGGGUGGCUUCCAGCAGAAUACACAGAACACACAAUACAUCAGACAUUAAAAGGAAAAGACCCAGCGCCAGAGAGAAGGAACAUGUGUCUCUCCAAAUGUUGAACUGCAGCUCAAGUCAGCCCUAGCCAGAAUGGCCUAUUAUGCUAAAGGACUAUGGGAGCUGUAGUUUAGCAAUAUCUCAAGGGCCUCAGGUUCUCCAUCCCAUCGCUGGAAAAAUGCAAAUAUCUUUACUGAGUGCUGAAAAUAUGAAGUCAACAUCAAAGCAAAUAUCUCUCUGGAGUGCAUUCUAGAAACAUGGUCCCACUACUAAGAAAUCUCUGCCUUGGCUUUUCUCAUCUCAGCAACAGAGCAGCUGAAGGCUGCCCACAGGCAAUCCAAGAGGCUGAAGCGGAGUCAAUGGCGCUUUGAGGUAUUUGGUCUUGACCUACUCAGGGCUGGGAGGCCGUGGGGACAGCACUUCAAAUUGUGUUUUGAAGUGGACUGGUUGCCAAUGGACUUAUUUCAAAACUGACAAGAAUUUGAUUUAAAAUGUCGAGCCCAGUCUAGCGGCCGCAUUUUAUACUAGCUGAAACACAUGUGAAGUCUUCAAAGAAAUCCCUUAGUGAACAAUGCACUAAUCCAAAAUGUACACACAGCUUCCAUGAAGCUGUGUUUUCUGCCUUUGUACAUCUUUAGGCCUCAGCAGCGAAUGGGCUCCAAGUAGCUAGGUUCGGGUGUCAGAAGCAGGUGCUACAUUGUUCAAAACAGCCAGGGAAGCACUUCAGGCCGGGACAUAGUCACUUAGGCAGCCAGCACUUUCUUACCAGCCAACACCAAGACUUUGUAGGGCCUGGUGGCAAAGAUCCCCCUCAGGGCUGUCUACAUUCACCCACUCCAUUUUGCACUUUUGACCGAACGCUUCACUGAAGCAGCAUGUAAUAAUAACCCAUUAAGUGUUCUUUAACACAGGUAACAUCCAGCACAAACAGGGCCUUUUUUCUGAUGAUGUUAUCUUGUAUGAUUUGUUUCUGAAUUUUUUGUUCCAGAGAGACAAAAAAGAAAGAGAACAAAUUGGUUUGACGUCUGGCUGAGGAUUGAUUGCAGCAAAUGAGAAAUGAUAGCUAGACAUGUUCCAUUUUAGGUUAUUUCUAAUGGUUUUUCUUAUAACUGGAUCCGAGACACUUGGGAGCUUUAGAGUGUCAAUCUCACUUUAAUACUGCUGGUCUAGUGAUCUGACGGUAAUUGACAAAAGAGAGUUCCAACAAUGGAGAAAUUAAGUCUUACGUGAUUACACAGGGUAAUUGUGUUAAACAAGAUAGCUCUUCCAAAGCUUUUGUUCUCCUCACAAAGAGGGCCUAUCCACAUACAUGGAAAGGCUUUGAAAUCUCUGCAAGCCAUGUCUAAUCACUUCAUGUGGCUUGGUAAAAAGCUUAGAUUUGGGGGGAAAUGGGCGGAAGAGACCCCCCAUACAUAGCUGUCAAUGUUUCCCUUUUUUAAAGGGAAAUUCCCUUAUUCCAAAUAGGAUUCCUCACAAGAAAAGGGAAAAGUUGACAGCUAUGCCGCCAUAGCCUGUUCUCUUGCAGUUUGAGUCUUGUGUUGUAAUACUGCUUGCCAGCUAAGAAAUGUAUUGCUUUGUAAUUAUUAUUAUAUAUUCAUUAUACACUUACAUUUAGAAAAACUACGACGAUGGCGACUAGUUGGAUUUUGAGCAGCUACAUUCAGGACAGAGCUCUGUGGAGAAUCUUAUGGCUGCUAACAAAUAAAUCCAAACCCAAACUGUCAUUGAUGGGCCUAUCUAUGAAUCCCU
rnacentral:lncRNA from 1 species